GGAUGAACGCUGGCGGCGUGCCUAAUACAUGCAAGUCGAGCGAACAGACGAGGAGCUUGCUCCUCUGACGUUAGCGGCGGACGGGUGAGUAACACGUGGAUAACCUACCUAUAAGACUGGGAUAACUUCGGGAAACCGGAGCUAAUACCGGAUAAUAUAUUUAACCGCAUGGUUCAAUAGUGAAAGACGGUUUUGCUGUCACUUAUAGAUGGAUCCGCGCCGCAUUAGCUAGUUGGUAAGGUAACGGCUUACCAAGGCAACGAUGCGUAGCCGACCUGAGAGGGUGAUCGGCCACACUGGAACUGAGACACGGUCCAGACUCCUACGGGAGGCAGCAGUAGGGAAUCUUCCGCAAUGGGCGAAAGCUUGACGGAGCAACGCCGCGUGAGUGAUGAAGGUCUUCGGAUCGUAAAACUCUGUUAUUAGGGAAGAACAAAUGUGUAAGUAACUAUGCACGUCUUGACGGUACCUAAUCAGAAAGCCACGGCUAACUACGUG
rnacentral:rRNA from 1 species